rnacentral:rRNA from 1 species
CCUACGGGGGGCAGCAGUGGGGAAUAUUGCACAAUGGGGGAAACCCUGAUGCAGCGACGCCGCGUGAAGGAAGAAGUAUUUCGGUAUGUAAACUUCUAUCAGCAGGGAAGAAAAUGACGGUACCUGACUAAGAAGCCCCGGCUAACUACGUGCCAGCAGCCGCGGGAAUGCGUAGGGGGCAGGCGUUAUCCGGAUUUACUGGGGGGAAAAGGCGCGUAGGCGGUUUAGCAAGUCGAGAGUUAAAGCCCGGGGCUCAACUCCGGGACUGGGUUUGAAACGGUUGAACGAGAUUGGGGGAGAGGUAAGGGGAAUGCGUGGUGUAGCGGGGAAAUGCGGAGAUAUGAGGAGGAAAGGCGGUGGGGAGGGGGGC